rnacentral:lncRNA from 1 species
CCCCUGGCUGCCCCCUGGAGGCUGGCCUGAGCCACCCAGCCUGGGCUGUGGGCCGGCACGCCCCUCUCUCCUAGGACAGCACAUCAGUAGCUCAUCACUGUGCUCAGUGCUGCUGAGCUGACCUACUUUUCCUGUUUGCCCACAGCAGGCUAAGCCUGUUUAGUGUUGUCCAGAGGGGCUGGGCCGAGCAAGGAGCUUUCUGAGUCGUACAGAUGGCAGUCUUCUGGGUGAACGUGGUUUAAUCUGUUUGCCCUGUUUUCCAUUAGUCUAAAGGGUUAGGGCCCAGCACCUAAGGUGACACGGGGACAGGGUCCAAGUGCAGGGCAUCCUGUGUCCCAAUUCAGCCUGUCUCCUGGAGAUCCUGCGGCAUGGUGAAUUAUUGCUGGGAACCAAGGCUUCUCUCCAAACUUUAAAAACAGAUUUCUAAAUGGAAGCUCUUUGGCCAUGUACUUCCUUACUGGGAACGUGUACUGAGCCCCAGGAACCUCUGCUUCUGAGAUGUAGAGGGGAUGGGAACUAUGCUUGCCCUCCUCAAGGGGGAGGAAUCUUCUAGUGUGUUGGGGAGGUGUGGGAGGCAGGGGUGACCAGCUAAGGCCAAGGCACCACAGAAAUAAACAGAGCUUAUGAUGAGGUGAGGAUGGCAGAGGUGGGGAUGGGAGUGGGACCUUGGAUGGGACCAGAGCUCCAGAGCUGGAGGGAUGAAGAAGAUGGUGUUGCCAAUGUAGAUGUCAGGGGAUGGGGAUGGAGGAGGGGGCAAUGUGACUGGGGUAGCAGCUCGUCAAUCCAGGGCUGAGCAUGGCUGACAUGCUCAGGAAUGUGGAGUGUGCCCUGUGAGCCCCUCUGAGCUACUGGUGCACAAUCUCCCCAAAACGCACACAUACAUUUACUGCUUUUAUUCUUUGCUGAGAUAUUGCUGCAUUGCUAUUUGUGGGCGUAGGAUAGUGUCUGUUGGAGUUGUUCAGGGAAAAAAAUCGUGGGAUCAGAUAGGCAUGAUUAAAUAAGCUGACAUAUGAGAAAGCCAGAAGCUAGCGCUUUAUCUUUUUCUCUAACUCCUGUAUUUGUGCAUAGCAAAAUGCCUCACGGAAGGUGUCCUGGGCCUGCCCUUCCUAACAGCAAAGCCCUGAUGGAACCGUCCUCACCGUGGGGCUUGUGUCUGAAACUCUCCUGGACACUCCGAAGCCACCACCUCCCAGGGGAGAGUCGGGCCAGUGGGCAAAUUGUGCAUUUCCUGGGGUCACUUCAUUAGAUAUGCAUAAGAGGCAAGAACUCAGUCUUUGUUUUAAAAAAGAAAAAAUAGACUUCUCCUGCUUUCUCUUGCAGUUUCUUCAGUGUUAUUAGGCCAGAUGGGAGGAGAGAGAUAUUCCAAAAUACCUUUAAUUUACAACAUGAAUAUCUGAAUGUACAAAAUGGGGAAACCAGAGAUUUCUAGUCCUGCCAGGGCAAAACCCAAUUGGCCUUUGAAUGGCAUGAAAGUCAGGCCUUUUUGGACCAGCUGACAGCUUUCCGCUUGCUUGGUGAACAAGACUGUCGCAGGCAGUGAUUGUCCCACCGCCGGCCAAGGUCUUCCUGGGGGAAGUGCUUUGAGUCCCCUCUCUCAGGUGGGUUGGGGGCUUCCUGGUCUGUGCUUGUGCCUCCUCUUCCUGUGUAGGGAAGACCUCCCAAAGGAGGCAGGCCUUUCUUCAGACUCUGCACAUUCCAGGUGCUGUGUGGUUCUGGAAGAGAAGAUGGAAGGUGGGCAUCUAGUUAGAGGGGGAAGGAUCUAGUCUAUGUUGGAAAUCGCCCUCCAACCAAAGCUGGUGGGGCAUCCAGAAAUGGGACUGUUUCUACAGAACAUUCCUGUAGCGGCUGCCUUGUCUCAUGGAUGGUAGCUUGUGCACUGGAGGCCCCCCCCCCCAUCCGUCUGCCCUCCCUAGUCAGGACUGCUUUCCACUGGGGGGCGGGGGCUGGACCUCCCCUUGGGAUGCCCCCUUGCCAGGCCCCUGAUGACAUCAGAGACUGUGGCUCAUCUGUGCGCUGCCUGCCCGCAGAGGCACACGCAGGGCACGGCACCCAUGAGAGGAGCAGGGACCUCGAGCGGGCAGAGAGACCCCGCCCGAGACACAAGGCCACCCUCUGCUCAGACAGCUCUGGGUGUCAGUGGUCAAGGCCUGUUUCUCGACCCUGGGCAUCAGAUACCACCAGACUCAUGUCAGGGGGCGGGGGGCAGGCCUGUCCAGGCGACUUGGAUGGACCUGGCAAUGCUCCUCACGCCAGAGGAAGGCCCCCCAGGCCAGCACCCGCCUCCCCUGGGUUGGGGGGAUUACCUCAGCCCAGCUGGACCACAGAGAGCCAACGGCAGGAACUGCAGCGCUCUGGCUUCACGGAUACCUGUGAAGAGUGAACACGGUCAGCACAGUCAGCAGAGGGUCUCACAGCACAGAGGGUGCCCCCAGGGCCUCUGGCAGCCCUCGAGCUGGCCCAGGCCCCGCGGCCCCAGCACGGGGGGUGCCAUCAGCCCCUGGCUCUCCGCAGCCAGCAGACUGAAGCAGUCUAUGUUCUUAUUCACCAUUAUUUGAAGCCCUGAUAUGAAACCCCAAAUCUCCCAGCCCGGAUGUCCAAAACAAGCCUGACUCUUCCUAUUUCGAGGACUUCUAUUUCUUUGGCUCUCCUUGCAAGCUGGAGCACAAUGAGGAUGAGUAUCCCCAGGCCAGAAGGAGCGUUAGGACCGGUUACGUGCUGGGGAGCUGCUGGCUGGAGCAGAGUUUCAUGGAUUCAUUUUGGUUUGUCUGUGGCAGCUGAUGAGCGGUUCUCAACAAAGGCUUUCACUGACUCAGCUCUGGGCAUGACUCAUAAAUCUCCUCUUCCCCUCUUGCUGAUUUUUAUAGGGAUCUAU